rnacentral:rRNA from 1 species
GACAGAGGCCCCGAGCGUUAGGCGGAAUCACUGGGCUUAAAGCGUGUGUAGGCGGACCCCUAAGUGUCUUGUGAAAUCCCACGGCUCACCCGUGGAACUGCUGGGCAUACUGGGGGUCUUGGGCCGUUCAGGGGCGACUGGAACAAGCGGUGGAGCGGUGAAAUGCGUAGAUAUCGCUUGGAACGCCGAAGGUGAAAACAGGUCGCUGGGGACGCGACCGACGCUGGAGACACGAAAGCCAGGGGAGCAAACGGG